rnacentral:lncRNA from 1 species
AUAGUGGGCAAAGCCCAAGUCGGUGGAGCAUUGCAGCUGAGGUGCACCCAUGCGAGGGCUGUCGGGCGGACUCGCGACUCUGCUCGUGUCCCUCACCGACAGAGACGAGGGGUGAUGCAGACAAAACAUGGGUGGCGGCGCUGCAGGUUACUGGUGCGGUGGCGACACGGACAUGGCAGCUUGAUCUCCGGUCGCCUGCGACGAGGUCUGGCUGGUCCUGUGAGGGAGAGGGGACAUGAAGACGCGCGCCUCCGUGGGUGCUUGCAUGACUGCGGGGCGGCUGCAGCUUGGACGCGGGGCAACGGGGUCGGUGCGCUGGUUCGGCUGGGCGCUCGGGGACGGGUCAGCCAACGCGUGGGCUGAGGCAGGCGCACGCGGCGAGGUGGAGACCGACUGCUGGCCGUCGGAGCUGCUGGUGGCAUGGCCAUGGCCUCCUUGUACCGGUCCCGAGCAAAGAGAAGCGAGAGAGGUUAGAGGCGAGCAGAGAAGCAGGAAAGAACGGGCGCGGAGGGGCUCUCACCGGCAA